rnacentral:rRNA from 1 species
AGUGAACGCUGGCGGUAGGCCUAACACAUGCAAGUCGAACGGCAGCACAGUAAGAGCUUGCUCUUACGGGUGGCGAGUGGCGGACGGGUGAGGAAUACAUCGGAAUCUACUUUUUCGUGGGGGAUAACGUAGGGAAACUUGCGCUAAUACCGCAUACGACCUACGGGUGAAAGCAGGGGAUCUUCGGACCUUGCGCGAUUGAAUGAGCCGAUGUCGGAUUAGCUAGUUGGCGGGGUAAAGGCCCACCAAGGCGACGAUCCGUAGCUGGUCUGAGAGGAUGAUCAGCCACACUGGAACUGAGACACGGUCCAGACUCCUACGGGAGGCAGCAGUGGGGAAUAUUGGACAAUGAGAGCAAGCCUGAUCCAGCCAUACCGCGUGGGUGAAGAAGGCCUUCGGGUUGUAAAGCCCUUUUGUUGGGAAAGAAAAGCAGCAGGUUAAUACCCCGCUGUUCUGACGGUACCCAAAGAAUAAGCACCGGCUAACUUCGUG